GCCCGUGGCCGGGUGGACAGUGAGAAGGGCAUCUCCCUCCGCUUCCCGCGGUUUGUUCGCGUCCGUGAAGACAAGACGCCGGAGGAGGCCACCACCAGCUCCCAGGUGGCCUGGCUGUACCGGAGGCAGAGUCUCCAGGAGGACACAGACCAAGACUCCGACCCGGACCUGGAGGUUUCCUGCUAGGCCCUGCCCUCCGGACGGGCGGCCGGCACCGCCGGCGUCAGAAGCAGACGUGGUGUGGUGUCAGUGUGUGUGCGGGUGUGGUUUAACGUGGGGAUUUAGUCGUUUCUAAAAAAAUAAAUAAUUAUUAACCCCC